rnacentral:rRNA from 1 species
UACAGGGGGGGCAAGCGUUGUUCGGAAUUACUGGGCGUAAAGGGCUCGUAGGCGGCCAACUAAGUCCGACGUGAAAUCCCAAAGCUUAACUUUGGAACUGCGUCGGAUACUGGAUGGCUUGAAUUCGGGAGAGGGAUGCAGAAUUCCAGGUGUAGCGGUGAAAUGCGUAGAUAUCUGGAGGAAUACCUGAGGUGAAGACGGGUUGCUGAGCUGACACUGACGCUGAGGCGCGAAAGCUAGGGUAGCAAACGGG